rnacentral:rRNA from 1 species
UGCAGUCGAGGGGUACAGAGGAGCUUGCUUCUGCUGACGACCGGCGCACGGGUGCGUAACGCGUAUACAAUCUGCCUUGCACUAAGGGAUAGCCCAGAGAAAUUUGGAUUAAUACCUUAUGGUUUAUUGAGAUGGCAUCAUUUUAAUAAUAAAGAUUACGGUGUAAGAUGAGUAUGCGUACCAUUAGUUUGUUGGUAAGGUAACGGCUUACCAAGACUACGAUGGUUAGGGGCCCUGAGAGGGGGAUCCCCCACACUGGUACUGAGACACGGACCAGACUCCUACGGGAGGCAGCAGUGAGGAAUAUUGGACAAUGGAGGAGACUCUGAUCCAGCCAUGCCGCGUGCAGGAAGACGGUCCUAUGGAUUGUAAACUGCUUUUAUACAGGAAGAAUAAGGACUACGUGUAGUCUGGUGACGGUACUGUAAGAAUAAGGACCGGCUAACUCCGUGCCAGCAGCCGCGGUAAUACGGAGGGUCCGAGCGUUAUCCGGAAUUAUUGGGUUUAAAGGGUCCGUAGGCGGGCCAUUAAGUCAGGGGUGAAAGUUUGCAGCUCAACUGUAGAAUUGCCUUUGAUACUGAUGGUCUUGAAUUAUUGUGAAGUGGUUAGAAUAUGUAGUGUAGCGGUGAAAUGCAUAGAUAUUACAUAGAAUACCGAUUGCGAAGGCAGAUCACUAACAAUACAUUGACGCUGAUGGACGAAAGCGUGGGUAGCGAACAGGAUUAGAUACCCUGGUAGUCCACGCCGUAAACGAUGGAUACUAGCUGUGUGGUUUUCGGACUGCGCGGCCAAGCGAAAGUGAUAAGUAUCCCACCUGGGGAGUACGUUCGCAAGAAUGAAACUCAAAGGAAUUGACGGGGGCCCGCACAAGCGGUGGAGCAUGUGGUUUAAUUCGAUGAUACGCGAGGAACCUUACCAGGGCUUAAAUGUAGAUUGACAGGUUUAGAGAUAGACUUUCCUUCGGGCAAUUUACAAGGUGCUGCAUGGUUGUCGUCAGCUC